GUGCUCAUUUAGGCAACAUGCAUACUGAAAUUGGAACUAUACAGAGAAGAUUGGCAUGGCCUCUGCACAAGGAUGACAUACAAAUUCAUGAAGCAUUCCAUACUUUU